UAGUGCUCCGAGAAGACCGUGCGACCGGUGCCGACGCUGUCGCGGAACUGGGUGGUGAACGCGAUACCGGCCGCGUCCGGGAGGAGCGAGGCGAAACCGAGGAGCGUGAGGUUGCUCGCCCACAAGAUGCAGCGGCGGAGGCUUCCCAAGACGAUGAUGCCUCCCACUUCUUCCUUCCUAGGCUUCAGCUGGGACGAGGUGGCGACGGCCGAGGGCGCA
rnacentral:lncRNA from 1 species